CUUCUCCUCAUCUUUUCAUAGAUCACUAGUCUCUUUAAAGUCUAUGUGCAGCGAGAAAAGCUGCUUUGCCUCGGCAAGAUUUGAUUACUGUGACUGUGACUAAGCUAUUACCGUUACGGAUGGAUAAGUCUGUCUUAGUCUGCGUCAUAGGACCCAGAGGCUCCAGCUAACGUCAUCCUGUUACCAGGCACCACAGGACCGGCCAUUGUCCAUUCUCUGGAUAAGGACGUGAACUUAAUGAAAAAGAGCCUUAUAUUUAGAAAUAUGUAUUGUCCCCAAAGUGUAAUUCAGCUGCAGCAUACUAGACCCAAACUACGGGGCCAGAACACUGACUUUAAUCUUUGGAAUUGAAGAUAAUAUUUGGCAUUUCAAUAAAACUUGUCUGUCUUUUUACAAUAUCAUUUCUUUUUCUGUUUUUUUCAAGUUUCAAAGUUUCCUACUAAUGUUGCGACGAGUCGGUCCUUUAAAAAGCAUGAUGAGUAGAUGAGUAAGUUGAAAGCGAAAACCUAAACACUGAAACUGAAAAAAACAAAAACAAAAAAAACCCCACAAAAAACGUCAAACCAGUAAGACUGAAAAACACGAAAUUUUGACAUUUUGCUGCUGUAUUAUGCAUUAUGUUAACCCGCCUAUCAAAUUUCACCUCCAGCCGUCACUGGCAGGUAGAAUCUACCGGGGGACAGGCGACACACAGACAACGUGUGAUGUUUUAUAGCUGCAAUGGUCCUGGGAAUAAAUUAGUGAUGAGCUCCACUGAACCCUAGAAUAAACAAUGACUGUAGACGUGUCCUCCGGGGUUCAUCCUUGCUGUAGUUGUAAAGCUGCAGGCCUAACAACGCCCCUAAGUGAAACCCAUAAACAUAUACCCAUAAUACUACUUUUCAGUGGUAUAAACUGAGCAUUGAGGUGCUACACAGAUCAGUCUUACAUCGUGAGGAGCCCAGAGUCACAUUUUUCUGACAGAGCCUCUAACACAAUAAAGGGAAGGGCAACAGGGAGCAGAUGUGGCUGGAAAGAGAAAACUCUCUGGACACCUGACAUCUGCUGCAUUCGCGCAUUUGUGGAGGCGUGAUUACGCCGCUCCUUUUUCACCAUUUAUUCAUCCACCGCAGCAGCUUUAUUAUUUUUACUUUUGAAGUGAGUAUGGGAUUUCAAAUGGCUCCUUCAACAAGAGGCUGCUACGCCCAGUCUCCUUUCCUUUCCCCUCAGCAGUCCAUUUUUUAGCCUUUCUCUGCCUGUUUCACUUCUCUUUAUUCACUAUAUUCAGGAAUCUUAUUACGUAUAUUCAGCCUGCUUACCACUUCAACCCUUAAUUUCCCCCCAAAAUAAAGUAUUAUCUUAUUGUAUCAGUAUGUAGCUGUAGUUGUAAAUAUUCAGUUGCAGCAUACAAGACCCAGUUUCAACAUGAUUUUGUCUGGGGUGUCUCCUGGGGCACCCACUCAUCCUUGCAUGCUACAAAAAUUUGAUUUUUGCACACAUAAAUGCACAAUUUCUCUGAGAUGAAUACUGACAAAAAAAAUCGACUAGCGAUUCGCAAAGUGAGGUCCGUGAAAGCCCAGGCUUAACAAUGUCACUGAUUUUCAAUAAAUUGUUAAUAAUCUGACACCAAUAAAAACAUAUUGAAAUGUGAAAUAUGAGCUUUUCUUUAUUCCAAAAGUGCACUGCAAAUUAGUAGAAAUAUAAAAAAUACAAACCUGAGUAAACAAUGUAUAAGGCCACAUCAAAAGAAUAGCUAAUGCUGGAUGUCCACUCCAUGAAAGGGCAACAUGAUGGACAAGGGGACAUCUAACUCCAAAAUAUGACCACUCAUCAGCAUUUUUUGGAAUCAUAUCGCUCACUACACACUGUGACUUUAGUUUUUGAGGUGGAAGUGGGAUUGAAAAGUCCAAUAUGCUAAACCACAUCAUGGCUUGAGUUUAGGUCCUGAACUGACCUGGUUGCACUUCAGAAGGAAAGACAAAAGACUUGAUAAGAUUGUAAUUUUUGGGGACAAAUAUUUUGUGCCAGAUCCUUUUUUUUUAUAUUUGGUACUUUCAAAAUGUAAAUAUUUUUUGUUAUGUAACCAAACUGCACAAUUAUGUAUAUUAUUUAUGAACAAAUAUUUGUGAGCAGAGUAGCAAGCACACAUUUCAUUAUAUAUGAUAAAUUAUAUCAUUUAAUUUCUGCUUCAUAAGGACAGACUCACCACAACAUUAAGAAACUACUUUGUUUUAGCAAGCUUAGCUUAGCUUAGCGUAGCUAACUUCUUCCAGCAGACUGUGACGGUCCUUAUAAAGCACAAGAUAAAUUUAAUGCUGCAGAGUCCUAGAUGAAGAACAGCAAAAGAAAACAACAGACUUGGUGACGGUUGGGGAGCUCCAUGCAAACUGAUUCUGUUCGUGUUAUCUCCUGGUAGCAGCAGCAGAAUCCGCCGACUUUGGUCUCAGUCCCAUUUUAUAACCUGCCACUAAGUUUAAACUGCAAAAUAAAACACUUAAGCAAAGUUUUGCAUUUCUAGGUUUAAAAGAAAGGACUGGUUAAUGGCAAGUGUAGCCCAGAAUUCACUUUUCUGUUUUUAAAUGUCUGCUUUUUGGAGGAGAUACAACAUGGAACCAACAAGGAAUUGUGGAUUCGUAAACAUUUGUUGGACACAAUUAGAAAACAUGGAUGCAGCGCAAGUCACAUACUUGAAGUUAUUUAUUUAUUUAUUUGUUAAUAUUUCACACAUUUUGCAUGAAAACACCAACUGAGUCUGUUAAAAGUGUCUGUCAAUGAAAUGUUGUGAUCGUCAUGUCAGUCUUAUGAUUAAGGGAACAGUUCCCGCUCUAGCAUCAGCAUGUGCUGGUUGUUCUGUUUUAUCAUUACAUUACAUUUGUUUUUGUGUGUUUUCAUAUUGUGAUAUUAUAUUCUACUGUCCCAGGUCCAAAGUGCACAAUCUUUUCAUUUGAUUAAUUUGAGAAUUUGGGGCCACAGCUUGUCUCAGAUGAGAACCACUGAUGUGAAGCACUAAAAAAUUAUAGUGGACCUGUAACUGAUGUAACUGUGUGUUUUGUUUUGUAACCUGUGUUAUGCGUAUGAGCUUUACGGAGUCCUAGAAUAAACGAUGACUCGUGCCCUCUGGGUUCGCUCUUCUUCUAUUUUUAGCUGCUGAACACACAGCUUCGACUUUACCUACCAGAUCUGGAACAACCUGCGACAAUAACAUAAACAGAUGACACUCACUGUAGAUGUAUGAGUUUUACUCUACACAAAAGCAAGACGGAGGAACUAAUCGUGAUCAAAAUGAUUGCGGUCGCUGGAGCCUGGACAGAUCAGAUUAUGAUCACAGCUUUCAUAUAGAUAGUUGACCAAAACACAAUUGUAUGUAAGCAGAGUGCUGGGAUGAGGAUGAGGAGGAGCAGGAUGACGCUCCGCUGCACCACUAAUGUGCCUCCUGCCGUGCAGUGCGCACUGCGCAUCCAAAGCGCAGGUAGUUGAAGGCAAAAACAACGUCGCAAAAAGGACAUGGGGGCAAAGGUAAGAAGAGGAAGAAAGAGGAAGAGGAGAAAACGCCAAGAUAAAGGUCCAUCUCCAUCCUCUACAGAGCUUUCUCUCCUGCCCCAUCCUCUGUUCCCACUGUCUCUUGUACACUGAUGGGUAGCUCUAUGAAUAGCCUGAGCUCUCUCAGAGCGGAGCUUUUCAAAGCUCAAAUUAAUGAAGAACUACUUGAGAUCGCCCAUGGUACAAGGAAGGAUGAGUGGACUGGCAGUGAUUAGUAUUAACAACAACGUUGGCCAUCAGAGUUCUUACAGUGACGUCAUAAAUGACUUUGCCUCCCCCUUUAAUGAGUGGGUGGAGUGUUGAGGAAGAACAGUCACAUUACAAAACAGUCAAAUGCGUGGAUUAAGAUAGUUUAUUUUGAUCAUUAUUUUUUUUUUCAAAAGCUUUUGCUCAUAAUUACAUACAUUUGUAUAGUUUUAAGACCUAAUCACUGAACUUUAUGUUUUUUAAGCCAUUCUUGUUACUUUCUUUCAGAGAACUCAUGUCAUUAUUUAAGUGUUUGCUUGAUUAUUAUAUUUAAUUUUGUCUCUUUUGUACAGGUGAGUUUGUGAAUAUUUUUAUAAAUCUAAGUGUCUAAAUUUAUUUGUUGUUGCACUAUAAAUUAUUUUUGCAAUUUUUUGAA